rnacentral:lncRNA from 1 species
GGGAUGAGUAAAUGCUGGAUGACAAUUAUGUGUGUAGAUCCCCUUUCCAGAUUGAUCAGAGUGAAUCAGUAGUCUCUCCAGGGACAGGGCUCAGUCUGAACCCAGGCUCAGCUGGCCUCUCUGGGCUGCCUCUCUCAAGCAGGGGUCCUCAUGUGCUGAAGUCUGUUCUCAUCAGCCUCUCACAAACUGAAGGAUUCAGAGAAACCUGCAAGUCCUCGGAGGAAGACUUGGGAAGCUCUGCCUGUGAGAGAGUUUUUCGCUGUGUAUCGGACAUUAGGGUUUCUGGAAACUUUCUGUGCAAACGUCUAAGUGUUGUCACACAAUUGUUCAGGCGAGGCGUCUCAGAGACACACAUUUGUUCCUGUCUGUGCCUCAAGGUGCGAUUAUGUGGACUGUGGGGAUCUGAAAGACAUUUCUUCAAAAGCGCUGUGACACUGCUUCUGCUUUGGGUCAGUGCAUCAAGCCACUCGGGCCGCCCAAAGCGCCAGACUCCGCCGCACAGGAAAAUAUAG